rnacentral:lncRNA from 1 species
CUUGGCUCCAGGCCAUGGCAGAGUCAUCCAGUCCUGAUGCCCGCUCUGGAACCUUCCUCAGCGGAAAGGGCGAGGCAGUUAACAGGCGCUCAACAGGCUACAGCGGGGUGCUGCCCGGCCAAUGGGACCUUCUGCUCCGGUCCCUCGAGGGAUGAACCCAAGCAGCCCAGCCAGAGAGAGGCCAGGCUCUGUGGCCAACGCACCUCGAAUCAAGAGCUGACUCUGCCUUCGCUGUGCAACCUGGCCUCAUCCUCCUCAUCUGGAAAGUGGGCACAGCACCAGCAGCUGCGUCACUGGGCGGCGGAGAGGAAGGGGCAGUGGGACACAAGUGCUUCCAACCGGACCAGGCGGAGGGCAGUGGGUAAAUGUCGAUGUGCUGUGACACCCUGCCGCCCUCUCCAACAUAGUAGGUGCUCACUUAAGAGUCACCGGCUAAACAAACACAGCCCUUCACUUGUAUUCACAAAGAUGAGCAAGGGAGGCACAGUGCCUGUGGUAUAACAAAUGUUUUUAAAAACACAACACUGAAUAGUCGGCCAAUAUGAUUUAUAACUCUGCACGCAUGAGCAUACACACACACACACACACACACGAGGAGCCUGGCUUAGGAGAAAGGAAAACACAGAAUGUUUAGUGUGGUUAAAUCAGAAGGAUGAGACAGGAAAAUGAUUUUCUUCUUUCUUGUUUGAUGUGUUGUUUUUUUCUAAUUGUCUGCAAUAAGCAUGGUUUCCAUUUAAAUGGGAAAAAUAGCAACAAAUCGGGAAAGAGGGAGCCCGCAGCCCUUCCUGUCCCGGGCUAUUUCCCCACAAACUGGGGCCGUGAUGCACAGGGUGGGGUGGUCAGGGGUGAAGCAAGGGCAGCGAGACC